GGAGAGAUGGCUGAGUGGACUAAAGCGCUCGCCUGCUAAGCGAGUGUCGCUUAUGCGACGCGAGGGUUCGAAUCCCUCUCUCUCCA
rnacentral:tRNA from 1 species